rnacentral:rRNA from 1 species
UACGUAGGGUGCAAGCGUUGUCCGGAAUUAUUGGGCGUAAAGAGCUCGUAGGUGGCCUGUCGCGUCGGCUGUGAAAACUCGGGGCUCAACUCCGAGCUUGCAGUCGAUACGGGCAGGCUAGAGUUCGGCAGGGGAGACCGGAAUUCCUGGUGUAGCGGUGAAAUGCGCAGAUAUCAGGAGGAACACCAAUGGCGAAGGCAGCUCACUGGGACGAUACUGACGCUGAGACGCGAAAGCGUGGGGAGCAAACAGG